GAAUGUAAGUAUGAUCUGGUUGUGACAUGUCACCCUACCCCAUUGAUCACAAGGAUUGAUUCUGCUGAUUUGGCUGGCUAGGUGGGUGUCCCUUUCCUCCCCUGCUGUUCCAUGUACAUCCCUCCUGGAGUUGUGUACUUGUUUAAAGAGGACCAUUAACCUCCCUGAACAGAGGAGGACCAGCCUUCAGUCAAGGGCAUAUGUUUAGCUGUACCCUCUGCUAGGACCUCCAAACAAGAUUUCAAGAAUGUGAUGGUUAAUGUUGAUUAGGAUAUAGUGAUAUCUUGGUGAUUACUAAGACACACCUCUGGGUGUAUCUGUGAAGGUGUUUCCAGAG
rfam:Cricetulus griseus cell line CHO-K1, whole genome shotgun sequence.